CGGAGGGUUAGGCGUUGUUCGGAAUGACUGGGCGUAAAGACGCGCGUAGGCGGAUCGCAAAGUUGGGGUGGAAAGCCCAGGGCUCAACCCUGGAAUUGCCUUCAAGACUCGCGGUCUGGAGUUCGAGAGAGGUGGGUGGAAUUCCGAGUGUAGAGGUGAAAAUUCGUAGAUAUUCGGAGGAACACCAGUGGCGAAGGCGGCCCACUGGCUCGACACUGACGCUGAGGCGCGAAAAGCGCGGGGAGCAAACAGGAUU
rnacentral:rRNA from 1 species